rnacentral:tRNA from 2 species
GGGCAGGUGGUGGAAUGGUAUACACGCCAGUCUUAGGAACUGGUUCCGCAAGGAGUGAGGGUUCGAGUCCCUCCCUGCCCACAA